rnacentral:miRNA from 1 species
AACAACGUAUUACAUAUUUUGUUGUCGAAACAACGAAUGGAUGAAUCCGGAACUGUUUUAACAGUUCCGGAUUCAUCCAUUCGUUGUUUCGACAACAAAAUAU